rnacentral:rRNA from 1 species
GUGGCGAACGGGUGAGUAACACGUGAGUAACCUGCCCUUGACUCUGGGAUAAGCCUGGGAAACCGGGUCUAAUACCGGAUAUGACUGCCGGCCGCAUGGCCUGGUGGUGGAAAGCUUUAUUGCGGUUUUGGAUGGACUCGCGGCCUAUCAGCUUGUUGGCGGGGUAAUGGCCCACCAAGGCGACGACGGGUAGCCGGCCUGAGAGGGUGACCGGCCACACUGGGACUGAGACACGGCCCAGACUCCUACGGGAGGCAGCAGUGGGGAAUAUUGCACAAUGGGCGCAAGCCUGAUGCAGCGACGCCGCGUGAGGGAUGAAGGCCUUCGGGUUGUAAACCUCUUUCAGUAGGGAAGAAGCGAAAGUGACGGUACCUGCAGAAGAAGCGCCGGCUAACUACGUGCCAGCAGCCGCGGUAAUACGUAGGGCGCAAGCGUUAUCCGGAAUUAUUGGGCGUAAAGAGCUCGUAGGCGGUUUGUCGCGUCUGCCGUGAAAGUCCGGGGCUUAACUCCGGAUCUGCGGUGGGUACGGGCAGACUAGAGUGCAGUAGGGGAGACUGGAAUUCCUGGUGUAGCGGUGAAAUGCGCAGAUAUCAGGAGGAACACCGAUGGCGAAGGCAGGUCUCUGGGCUGUAACUGACGCUGAGGAGCGAAAGCAUGGGGAGCGAACAGGAUUAGAUACCCUGGUAGUCCAUGCCGUAAACGUUGGGCACUAGGUGUGGGGGACAUUCCACGUUUUCCGCGCCGUAGCUAA